rnacentral:lncRNA from 1 species
GCUUUUGUAGGGUCCUUUAUCAUAGCAGCAGGACAGGACCAAACACCUUCCAAGACUCCGUUAGAUUGUUCUCCUUUCCAGGUUCACAGGAAGCUGUAUCUUGCUUCCCCGGUACUUUAGCUGCAUCUUUGUGAACUAGGGGUGAUCUGAGGAACUGAGACGAUAAAUACUGAGUUGGUACUCAAUGGUUGCAAGGUUUCAGUUGUGCAAGGUAAGCAAUUGUAGAGAUCUAUAACAUAACAUCAUGCCUGUGGUUCAUCAGUGCCUCAGUGCAUCACUUAAAAGUCUGUAGAUCCCGUGUGAACUUUCUUACUACAACUAAGGUGUCCUGUUACUCUACUGAGAAUUUUUGCAGCCCUCUGACAACCAGGGAGGUUGUUUAUUUUCGUAAGUUUACAAAUGAUUUUAACUUCUGGGACUCUCCUAUUCAUUUGCUCCCCUCUCCCUUCCUAUCUGACUGUUUGAUUUUUCUUAAUCAAUGAAUGUGCUAAAAUAGAUUUUUAUCUAUUACAGAUAUUAUGCCUUUGUCGAAAGUGCUGUGGAGACCUUUGCCCUUUUAGUCUCUUGCCUUAGACAAAGUAAGGUCUUUCCAGUUUAAGUGUGUACUCAAAUUUUAUUAGCUAAAAGGUAAGUUAUCUUGUGGAUAUUUCUGAUUUCUGUCUUUUUCAGGGAGGCCUUUUAUAUUGUAAAAUUAUGAAAAUGUCUCAUUCUUUUUUUUUCUCCUCACACAUGUAUGCACAAAUUUACCUCUUUAUUCCACAUGGAGUUUGUAAAUGCUGACUACAGUUUUCUAGCUCCAGUAGUGCUGCUACAAUCUAAAUUUAUAUUUCCCUCAAACUAAUUGACUUUAUUAAAUAAUUAUUGAAUAGUCUUAUUUAUACUAGUAUUCAAUAGUAUAAAUUAUUAUAUAUAAUGUAUUUAUAUAUAGAAAUUAUUGAAUAAAGUAAGAUGGUUCAAUAAUGAUUCUUAUUGAAUAGUUUAUUUCCCAUACUAACAUGAAAUACCAACUCUCUUUCUGUAUGUACAUGUGGAUAUAUGUGCGUAGCCCCAUGUUGGGAAGUUUGGAGCCUAGAGGGCAGCAUCAGUGACUUUCACUUUAUUUUGGGGGAUAGGGUCAUUCAUUGAACCUGGACCUCACUAUUUGUCUUCACUGGCUAAACAGCAAACCUCAGUUAUCCUUCUGUCUCUUGCUCUCAGCCCUAAGGUUACAGGCACAGCCUGUCAUGGAUUUUAUAUGAAUUAUGGGGAUUUGAAUUCAAGUCCUCUUUCCUACACUUUACCCUCUGAUCCACUCCUCAGCCCAAAUGUUGACUUUGUUAUGAACUUUAUAAUUACAGGAUCCUCCCCACACCCCCGUGUGUGUUUGGGUUUGUUUCUGGACUGCUAUCUGCAGGCUUGUUUUAGUUCUCCUGAGUCUUGCUUAGCAGAGGACUGCACUGUGUUUCUCUGUUACAUAAGGCAGUACCUUUAAGCACUUUGCACUAAGUUGUGUUUCAUAUGAUUUCAUAUGUGCUUAAUUCUGACUUCAGGUCUAAAUGCUUAAUACUAGUUAGAGAUUCCUCAACAUACUUGGGUUUUCUAGCUUUCAACACAGAUUUGCAAUAACCAAUGCUGGUCCUUCUGCAUCCUGUAUAAAUUCCCAGUGUGGCAUAAGUGGCUUUCUAUGCUGGGGUAUCUGCCUGGUACUUUCUUACCUCCCACCCCACUGUGUGUUCCCGGAUGAUCCAGCACGUACUUACACCAAACCAUGCCAUUUUUUUCAUGUCCUUGUGUAUGGGACCUUAAAUUCCUUGCUUUAGUACCUUCAGUGUCUAGCUCCAUUAUAAGUAUACAAAUCAGUGGCUCUUGGCCUUAUCGUAAUGGCUCAGAGAAUAUAUAAAGUCCUUGUAACUAUUAUAGCAACACUUUUUCCAUUUGAGAGUGUUAAAUAUAUGCCAAUGUGUGUAUCUGUCAGUUUUAUCGAAUUCUGAAACUAGACCAUACUUCCCAAAGGAGAGUGAAGGUCCCCAAUGGAAGGAUAUGAAUAAAAACUUGUCGAGAUGAAUUUUCCAUUCAAAUGAUGAAUUUUUCCUCAAGCCAAUACAACUGAUUAAUGUGUACGUGUCUGUCUGUGAGCGUGCAUUUGUCAUAGAGUCAGAAGCGAAAACCAGUGAGCUCCUUCAGAGGUGAGUAGCUUUAACUGUAUCCUCUCUUCCUGGUUUAAGUGGAGAAUUAAUGCAUGCUGUAGGGUAGAUCUGGCCAGAGACACUUACACGCCAAAUAUCUACUGCAAAAAGAGUUGUUUUUUUCCAAUGUGAUUCCUGCGUGACUACUCUGCUCUUUCUCUUUUACUUAGCAUGUAGACUACCAGGAUUGAUCACUUUGACUGACUUAAUUUAGCAUUAUAUCGACAGAGUGAGACAAUUGGCUUACUCCACUGUGGCAUUGACGGAAUCCACGGGCUGUUUUGGUGUCUGAGAAAAAGGCUCAAUGUCUUUAAUCCAAGGCUUCCCCGUUGAAGACUACUCUGUGCCACAACCUGAGUUCUGGCACAUUGAUAUUCAUGCCAAUGAAGUUUCUAUUUCUCAUCUACCCCCGAUAUCCUCCCUGUCUCUGCUCUAGUGACUUAAAAUUAUCUAGUCAGUCUUGGUUUUUCUAUUCAAACACUGGCCAUAGGUAUUAGUCAGCCCUAUGCAUAUGCUAUAGAAUUUAUAAAAUUAUUCAUUGGAAGAAAAAGAUAAUUUGACAUAUGAAUCAAGAAAACAGUUUAGGAAAAAGUUCCAAUGAAUCUUUCCUUCAUCAACAUUCACAUUAAACACAAUAGAGUCAUUUCACCUAAAUUUGGAGAUUUGUUUUCUUUGACAAGGAAUACUAGCAUAGUAUGUAACAGAGAGAGUUCAGAUUGUACAGCAAGCCAGUGGACUUUAUGUUAAACAGGGUUCAAUUGUCACACUUACAAUCUGUGCAGGAGUAUGGACACAGAUGUGAGGUCUCCUGAGCAACCAUUUUGGUGUACUUUGUAAAAAAAAAUCAGAGGGAAAAUGUUUACACAGUAGUUGCUACUGUCUCAUCUUCAAGGGCGUUGGGUCUCCUAGAGCUGUUGUUCUACACAGUUGUGAGAUCCCUGGCUUGGGUUCUGGGAAUCAGGCUAAGAGGUCUAUUGAACAGUACAAUGUGCUUGUAAGCACUGAGCCAUCUCUCUGGCCCCGGGCCUGAGUAAUUUUCUGAGAAAGUAUCCUUUGCUUUGAAGUCUGCUUUUGUGAUCUACAAGUCUUACUUAUUAUCUGAAGACAUGGAUGACAGAGUCCUAAUAAGUUGUGACAACUCCUUGUGAACUUCUCUUGGUCAAAAAUAAAAUGCCUGUUGGGUUGUGAGCUCCUUAUAGAGAGAGGUGGCAGGAUGCCCGUGGACUCUUAUUGCUUGCUUCAAAGCUGGGCAGAUGUUUUCUCCCAGAUGAGGCAGCGCCCCUGGAAGGUACUCCAUAGUAGUUACCCAGCACCAAGUGUGGGCUCAUGCCUUUCCCAUUUGGGCAUGCCACAGUUUCAUGUUACACAUGAAAAACCUGAAUUAAUGGGUUCACAUGAUUUGCUACUGUGUGGCAGAACCAGACUUGAAACCCAAGGCCUUUCCCAUCUUAUUCUAAGUUUACUGUCUAAUCUAUAACUAGACAUUCAGAUUUGUAACUGCAGAUAGAAGGAGAAGAUAAAUUACCAGGAAGACGCCG